rnacentral:rRNA from 1 species
GCUAUUUAGGUUAGAGUUUGAUCAUGGCUCAGAGCGAACGCUGGCGGCAGGCUUAACACAUGCAAGUCGAGCGGGCGUAGCAAUACGUCAGCGGCAGACGGGUGAGUAACGCGUGGGAACGUACCUUUUGGUUCGGAACAACACAGGGAAACUUGUGCUAAUACCGGAUAAGCCCUUACGGGGAAAGAUUUAUCGCCAAAAGAUCGGCCCGCGUCUGAUUAGCUAGUUGGUGAGGUAACGGCUCACCAAGGCGACGAUCAGUAGCUGGUCUGAGAGGAUGAUCAGCCACAUUGGGACUGAGACACGGCCCAAACUCCUACGGGAGGCAGCAGUGGGGAAUAUUGGACAAUGGGCGCAAGCCUGAUCCAGCCAUGCCGCGUGAGUGAUGAAGGCCCUAGGGUUGUAAAGUCCUUUUAACGGGGAAGAUAAUGACGGUACCCGUAGAAUAAGCCCCGGCUAACUUCGUGCCAGCAGCCGCGGUAAUGUC